rnacentral:rRNA from 1 species
AUUGAACGCUGGCGGAAUGCUUUACACAUGCAAGUCGAACGGCAGCACGGACUUCGGUCUGGUGGCGAGUGGCGAACGGGUGAGUAAUGUAACGGAACGUGCCCAGUCGUGGGGGAUAACGAAGUGAAAAUUACGCUAAUACCGCACACGAUCUAUGGAUGAAAGCGGGGGAUCGCAAGACCUCGCGCGAUUGGCGCGUCCGUGAUCAGAUAAGGUAGUUGGUGGGGUAAAGGCCCACCAAGCCAACGAUCUGUAGCUGGUCUGAGAGGACGACCAGCCACACUGGAACUGAGACACGGUCCAGACUCCUACGGGAGGCAGCAGUGGGGAAUUUUGGACAAUGGGCGAAAGCCUGAUCCAGCCAUUCCGCGUGCAGGAUGAAGGCCCUCGGGUUGUAAACUGCUUUUGUACAGAACGAAAAGGUUUCUACUAAUACUAGGAGCUCAUGACGGUACUGUAAGAAUAAGCACCGGCUAACUACGUGCCAGCAGCCGCCGCCG